rnacentral:lncRNA from 1 species
UUGUUUUAACCGUGAAGAACUAAUGGAAGGUCAGAUGGCUCUAGGGAGCAAGGAGGGGAGAAAUGGAACUUGGAAAUCAGCCAACGCAACCAGGGAAGGCCCAGUGGCCUUCUGCUCUGCUCUUUGGGGUUUAUGAGGCUGCCUGCCCUGGGGAACCACAGCCACCUCUACAUACGCAACCGCAUGUCUCCAUGUGGGUGAGAGGCUUCCAUGGAAGUCUGCCCAGGGAUGGGUCUGUGGGCCUCACAAGUGGAAGGGGCCCUGGGGAGAGAGAAACAGGGACACAAUCCAUGCCUCUGGUUCCUGCUACCGGAAUUGUGACAGCCACUCAGCAGCCCUAAGGAGUGCCUGAAAAUGUGGGGACCUGGGCUGCAGAUACAGAAAAGGAAUGGGGAGUGGCCAACAGCUAGUCCUACUUGUUAACUAAUAAUCCAUUUCCACAAAAUGCUAUAGACCCCUUUGCGGUUCCCAAGACAGAAGUCAUACCUACCACUCAAAUAUGGCCCACCGUUAAUUAACUCCUUCCCAACUUCCUCCUGAUUUAUUUACCCACUUUGUCCCAAAGUGGGUAGAAUAUUCUUGUAUACCUCUGAUUCACCAAAGAGCUUAUUAAACACUUAAUUUGAAACCAGAGGCCCUGGGUUCUAACCAUCUAGUUAGAAGGUAACAACGUGACCUCAGGCAAAUCUCUCUGGGCCUGUUUCUCCUUAUGUGAAGAGAGUCCGACUAAAGCUGUACAAAUCCUCUCCACUUACAUUUAUGAUUCUGGCAAUUAGUAUCUCUAACAGUAGUUAAGAGCAGUGUUGCAGAGCUAAAUAAGCCUGGCUUCAACUCCCGGCUCUGUGUAACCUCUAUAACCUUGGGGACAAGUUACCUCACCUCUCGGAGCCUCCAUUCCUCGCUUGUCAAGUGGAGACAUAUUUUCACAGAUUUGGAGGAUACGUUGUGGAAGGUCUGACUUCAAAUAGGUCUUUGUGGCGUUCUGGAAAUUCACCUGAACUGUGGCUCUCAAACUUUCGCAUGCAUCAGAAUCACUCCAUCCCCGGUCUCUGAUUCUGGAGGUCUGGGGUGGGGCCUGAGAAUUGGCAUUUCUAACACGUUCCCACAUGCUGCUGAUGCUGCUGGUCCUGGGAAUACAGUUUGAGAACCAUUGACCUUGUGGUGGUGGUAGUGGUGGUCAUGGUGAUGGUGUUGGAGGUGGUGGUGGUGCUGAAGGUGAUGGUAUUGGUGGU